UACGGAGGGUGCAAGCGUUAUCCGGAUUCACUGGGUUUAAAGGGUGCGUAGGAGGGUAGGUAAGUCAGCGGUGAAAUCUUCGAGCUUAACUCGGAAACUGCCGUUGAUACUAUCUAUCUUGAAUACCGUGGAGGUGAGCGGAAUAUGUCAUGUAGCGGUGAAAUGCUUAGAUAUGACAUAGAACACCAAUUGCGAAGGCAGCUCGCUACACGAAUAUUGACUCUGAGGCACGAAAGCGUGGGGAUCAAACAGG
rnacentral:rRNA from 1 species